CUGUCUGACUAUUCUUAGUGCAGGGCUCCUACUUGCUUAAACCCGGGGGUGGAUACUCAACCUCUUGGCCGGGGGACGACUCGUGCCGGUACCUGUUCUUUCGCCUUCGACUAACUCCGUGCCAUCAGCCCCGGUUAUACGUAUGACACAAGCCUUAUCCGUAUUUAUGGGGCGUACAUUGAUCGUAAUUGGUCUUCCUAAUUGGAUCUCAAAUUUCCCGGUUUAUCCGGGACGAGUCCUCCAAUCCUGUUCUACUAAAUUCCAGCAAGACAGAACGGAUUUCCCCUGGUAGAGGUAAAUUGCAUACAUCUCGUAACGAACACCUGAGUCGAAAGCUGUAUGCUAAGUUGUCACUAACACUGACACCCGAAUCCGUAUGGACCCACCUGAAUUAAAUCCUCUGGUACUCCACGCCUUAAAUUAUCUACACUACGUAUCGGGAGUAUCUACCCUCUCUGUGCCGAAUCUAACGCUUUUCGUGUCCCCCCUGGGGAGUACAGUCACAACGCUAAAACUCAAA
rnacentral:rRNA from 1 species